AGUUCGAUCAUGGCUCAGAUUGAACGCUGGCGGGAUGCUUUACACAUGCAAGUCGAACGGCAGCACGGACUUCGGUCUGGUGGCGAGUGGCGAACGGGUGAGUAAUGUAUCGGAACGUGCCUAGUAGCGGGGGAUAACUACGCGAAAAGGCGUAGCUAUUACCGCAUACGCCCUUCGGGGAAAGCGGGGGACCUUCGGGCCUCGCACUAUUAGAGCGGCCGAUAUCGGAUUAGCUGAACGGUGGAGUAACGGCCACCAAGGCGACUGAUCCGUAGCUGGUUUGGGGAAGGGACGACCAGCCACACUGGGACUGGAGACACGGCCCAGACUCCUACACGGAGGCAGCAGUGGGGAAUUUUGGACAAUGGGGAAACCCUGAUCCAGCCAUCCCGCGUGUGCGAUGAAGGCCGCUGGGUUGUAAACACUUUUGGCAGGAAAGAAACGGCGGGAUGUACCCGUGCAACUGACGGCUACCUGCAGAAUAAGCACCGGCUAACUACAUUGCCAGCAGCCGCGUGUAAAGCCGGUGCAAGCGUUAAUCGGAAUUACUGGGCAUAAAGCGUGCGCAGGCGGUUCGGAAGAAGAUGCUAGAAAUCAAGCUUGCUUUGGAACUGCAUUUUUAACUACCAGAGCUAGAGUGUGUCAGAGGGAGGUGGAAUUCCGCGUGUAGCAGUGAAAUGCAUGGAUAUGCGGGAGGAACACCGAUGGCGAAGGCAGCCUCCUGGGAUAACACUGACGCUCAUGCACACAAGCGUGGGAGCAAAACAGGAUUCGAUACCCUGGUAGUCCACGCCCUAAACGAUGUCAACUAGCUGUUAGGCCUUUAGGCCUUGGUAGCGCAGCUAGCGUGAAGUUGACCGCCACCAGAGAUACGGUCGCAAGAUUAAAACUCAAAGGAAUUGACGGGGACCCGCACAAGCGGUGGAUGAUGUGGAUUAAUUCGAUGCAACGCGAAAAACCUUACCUACCCUUGACAUGUCUGGAAUCCCGAAGAGAUUUGAGUGCUCGCAAGAGAACCGGAACACAGGUGCUGCAUGGCUGUCGUCAGCUCGUGUCGUGAGAUGUUGGGUUAAGUCCCGCAACGAGCGCAACCCUUGUCAUUAGUUGCUACCCGAAGGGCACUCUAAUGGAGCUGCCGAGGUGACAAGCCGAGGAAGGUGGGGAUGACGUCAAGUCCUCAUGUGCCCUUAUGGUGGGGCUUCACACGUCAUACAAUGGUCAGGACAGAGGGUCGCCCGCGAGGGGGAGCCAAUCCCAGGCGAUGUAGUCGGAUCUGCAGUCACAGCUCGACUGCGUGAGUGGGAAUCGCUAGUAAUCGCGGAUCAGCAUGUCGCGGUGAAUACGUUCCCGGGUCUUGUACACACCGCCCGUCACACCAUGGGAGUGGGUUUUACCAAGUAGUUAGCUAACCGUAAGGAGGGCGAUUACCACGGUAGGAUUCAUGACUGGGGUGAAGUCGUAACAAGGUAA
rnacentral:rRNA from 1 species